rnacentral:rRNA from 1 species
AUACGUAGGGUGCAAGCGUUAAUCGGAAUUACUGGGCGUAAAGCGUGCGCAGGCGGUUUUGUAAGACAGAGGUGAAAUCCCCGGGCUCAACCUGGGAACUGCCUUUGUGACUGCAAGGCUAGAGUACGGCAGAGGGGGAUGGAAUUCCGCGUGUAGCAGUGAAAUGCGUAGAUAUGCGGAGGAACACCGAUGGCGAAGGCAAUCCCCUGGGCCUGUACUGACGCUCAUGCACGAAAGCGUGGGGAGCAAACAGGAUUAGAUACCCUGGUAGUCCACGCCCUAAACGAUGUCAACUGGUUGUUGGGUCUUAACUGACUCAGUAACGAAGCUAACGCGUGAAGUUGACCGCCUGGGGAGUACGGCCGCAAGGUUGAAACUCAAAUGAAUUGACGGGG